AGCCUGAUGCAGCGACGCCGCGUGAGGGAUGACGGCCUUCGGGUUGUAAACCUCUUUCAGCAGGGAAGAAGCGAAAGUGACGGUACCUGCAGAAGAAGCGCCGGCUAACUACGUGCCAGCAGCCGCGGUAAUACGUAGGGCGCAAGCGUUGUCCGGAAUUAUUGGGCGUAAAGAGCUCGUAGGCGGCUUGUCGCGUCGGAUGUGAAAGCCCGGGGCUUAACCCCGGGUCUGCAUUCGAUACGGGCAGGCUAGAGUUCGGUAGGGGAGAUCGGAAUUCCUGGUGUAGCGGUGAAAUGCGCAGAUAUCAGGAGGAACACCGGUGGCGAAGGCGGAUCUCUGGGCCGAUACUGACGCUGAGGAGCGAAAGCGUGGGGAGCGAACAGGAUUAGAUACCCUGGUAGUCCACGCCGUAAACGUUGGGAACUAGGUGUGGGCGACAUUCCACGUCGUCCGUGCCGCAGCUAACGCAUUAAGUUCCCCGCCUGGGGAGUACGGCCGCAAGGCUAAAACUCAAA
rnacentral:rRNA from 1 species